rnacentral:lncRNA from 1 species
CCUCAAUCCUCCUAUCCUCGGCAAAAGAAUACAUUUACAAUCUCUAGCAAUUCUGUUGACCUUAAAACAGUUUAACUACCAAGAAUUUGACAUCGCACGUAUAUGAAGAAAGUUGAAGACAUAAGAUCAAAGUGAAUUUUCCUUCAUUCCUUUCUUGCCCAUUUAGAUUUUACUUCUUCUUUCUUUGCCUUUCUUUUUGUCAUGUAGAAAACAGAGCCACACUCUACACAUCCUGAAUCCUGAAAAAUCAGAAGACUUAACCUUAAUCAAGUGCUGUUACCUCUUCUGAGUUCAAUUCCAAGAGAAAGUGAGAUAUUCUUGAAUGCUUCCAAGAAAAGGAGUGAUGACUUCAGACAUUUAUUGAGAGGUUUAAUCUGGAACCAGAGUGAAGGAUGGAUUGCAGGGGAGAAAGAGGUCACUAGUAAGGAAGCCUGAGUGAAGAAAGCCUCCGUGACUGGGACAUAAAGAGAUGACAGCAUUGUCAGCAGCUCUGUCUUUGCAGGAACUUGUGUCAUGGUGGAUUGCAUAACCCCAAAGGCUCAAAGAGGUGCCA